AGCUAAUUUCUCCAACCUAGUAGUUUCUGAUAUUAUUACUAGGCCUUGGGAUAUUUUACUGGUGCAAAAUAAUAGCUGCUGGAGAAAGAAGAGCAGUUUAAAGAGCAAAAAAAUAAUAGAAACAAAAAACAUUUUUCUGGGAAAAAAAGCAAUGCCCGGAACACUUCCAUGGAAUUAAAUUCAAUAUCUGAUUUUGAUGGAAGAUAUCACAAGAGGAGGUGCAAUGUUGAAUACCAAAAGAUUAUCCAGCUAUAACACCUAACUGGGGAUGACUUGGAGUAGGAUAUUCCUGAAAAUUUGAAAAGAAAUAAAGAAGAAGAUGGAGAUUUUUCUCUUCAGAGGUCAGGAGUUCAAAGUAUAAAUCUUUCUU